rnacentral:lncRNA from 1 species
AAUAAUUCAUAUUAUGCAUACACAAGACACAUACAAAUUAUUUAAAAGAUUUACCAUGCAGUUCUAAUACACAUUUUUAAAUAUGCACACAUAAGGUAAAGCACACAAGAAAAAAAUAAUGGUUUGCAGCAUAAAACAUAGGAUUAGUCAAAAACUUAAUAAGAAAAAGAUAACAAAAAGUAAAAUCACAAAAAUACUGAACCCGGAGGAAAAUUCAAAAAGGAAAGUCCCUAAUUAAAUUUCAAAAUCAAAAGCUCAAACACAUCAAACGAAUGGAUUAUAACAACUGUCAUAUCCCUGACUUUGUAUAGGCUUUUUCCUCUGUAGAAAAUGGUGGCUUGAACCUGGCUUUAUAGCUAGCUAAACCUCUCACAUUUAUGACAGUCGCAUCAAAUUCCAUUAUAUUGACAACGAUGCGUGAACAAAACAAACAGACACAAUAGGUAAACAUGUCAAAAUUGAGGUACAGUAGGCGACAUUGUGUUAUCAUCUUAAUCACUAUAAAAACAAACCAAUGUUACAAGGAAGCACAAAAAGGCAUAACCUAAUUUUGCGUAUGCGAUUUUAUUUAUAUAUGUUCAAAAGGACUCUAAGUAUACAGUUGCCCAACUGAAAUUCAAACAAUGAAAACCGACAUACACGUAAACAUGAUCAGGAUUAAUCAACUGGUUUUGCAAUUCAAUUCAAUUUCAAUAAUCAAAGUUUGUUAAAAUUUUAAUUACGCUCUUUGAAUGUCUUUAUCUGUGUGAGACAGUCGUCUAUAUAGUUAUAUUGAUUGAUUGAUUAGUUUUGACACCCUUUCAGCACGUUCGGCAACCAAGGCCUCUGUCUAGUUAUAAAAUUAUUUUUUG